AAAUCAGUACUCGGUUUGGUGCCAAAAUAUGUUCAUAAUUUUGUGCGCUGGGCUGGUGGGAUGCUAUGUGAAUCACUACAUUCUUACUCCUUCGGUUCGCCGGAGGUUCGGAUUGCAUUGACCACAUUCAGAUUUUUCCUAGAGAUUCGGGCUGGCAACCAAAGAUGUCCAGCCUUGAUGGCUUGUGAUAUAUUAUCAUGUUUAGGAUAGACGAAAAUAAGAUUGCAAAGGAACGAAGAGCUCAAGAUUUUGUUUUGUCCAUGAAGAUGCAUAAUCAAGAGGAACCACGAGGAUUCCUAAGAACACUUGAGGUGCAGCAAUAUCACUUAACCUUUUCAGGUUACUCUAGAUGAUUUAUCAUCCUUGCUUGCCCCUCCCGACAAGGAUUCAUAUCAAGAGUUCAAUACUUGUUGGGGGUUCCUCGCAAUGCACGCACAGAGAGGCAUAACUUCUUUGCUUCCCCCACCAUCUCUGCAAUAAUAUGGCGUGCAUGUGCAAAAAGAAGGAUCCGAUGGUCUACUAAGGGCUUAUAGGAAUGAAGAGCGGCUUAUCUUCUUUACGUGUUUAUCUGGUAAAUAUUCAUCUGUCAGGCAAUACAAAUCGUAUGGUUACAAGUUCAACAACAGCAUGGGGAGCGCUGGCGUGGUAGUCCGGCGGUAGAGGGAUGGCUGGGCAGCAGCCUACCGAGGAGUUGGAGGGAGGGCUUGAUUGGACCACAUCUGUCCAUGAGGGCUCGUUGGUGGGAUAAUCAAGAAGGGGGGAGGGGCUGGGUGUAUCUGUGUUGCGCGGUUCCGGCUGGUGUGCUCCUCGGCGUCGUCCUGGACAGGUGGAUGUGUGGGCGGCUGCGUGUGUGCGUGUGCUUUGGCGGUGCGUGGUGAGGUAGCGGGGUGGCCAGCGCGGUGCCCUGGUGAGCAGGUGGUUAGAUCCGGACGGAUUUGGCCAUGGUGGCUCGACGUUGGACUUGCUGGUGCAUGUAUGGUUUAUAAUCUGUCCGGACGGAAGAUUGUAGUUUGUGUAUAGUUUAUAAUCUGAGGAAAUGUUUGCCGUCUGUGUUAACCUUCAGUCUUGUACUGCUGAAGAUUGUAGUUUGUGUUGUAUCAUAUGUGGACAUGUUCUUUACUUCAAUCUAGACUUACGUGCCUUUGUGUUAA